GGGAGUGUAUUUAAAUAAUAAUAAUUGAAUUGCAUUCAUUAGGUGUCAUUUGACCUCUCUCA
rnacentral:tRNA from 1 species